rnacentral:ncRNA from 1 species
AUUAAAUAAAAUAAAUAUGGUUUUUAAUUAGGGAAUUGUGUUAGAAGCACAAGCUGUACCAGCAACUGUAAAACUGACGAACACUGUAAUAACCACUGAGAAAAUUUCUUGGGAAGGGCAGUAAGUAGGCUGAAGUAAAGCCAGUAGACCUACCAUGUUUUUGAACUUUGA